rnacentral:sRNA from 1 species
UACAACCAGACUAUAUGGGAUAACGGCUG